GUUGAACGCUGGCGGCGUGCCUAAUACAUGCAAGUCGAGCGAAGCGGGGACGGGAUGGUAACACGUGGAUAACCUCCUAUAAGACUGGGAAAACUUCGGGAAACCGGGGAUAAACCGGAUACUUAGAGAUGGAGACGCGCCCGAUUCGCUAGUUGGUAAGGUAACGGCUUACCAAGGCUAGGAUGCGUAGCCGACCUGAGAGCGUGAUAGGACACAUCUGAGCUGUGACACGGUCCAGACUCCUACGGUAAUCAGCAGUAGGGAAUCUUCCGCAAUAGGCGAAAGCCUGACGGAGCAACGCCGCGUGAGUGAUGAAGGUCUUCGGAUCGUAGAGCUCUGUUAUUAGUGAAGCGUUACCUAAUCAGACAGCCACGGCUAACUACGUGCCAGCAGCCGCGGUAAUAC
rnacentral:rRNA from 1 species